rnacentral:tRNA from 1 species
GGAAGAGUCAUAGCUCAGCGGUAGAGCAUUUCCGUGGCAGGCAGGAGGUCCUAGGUUCAAUUUCUGGUACCUCCA